CUCUCCGUUAGGGUACCUGCGGAGGGAUCAUUGCUGGAACGCGCCCUAGGCGCACCCAGAAACCCUUUGUGAACUUAUACCUUACUGUUGCCUCGGCGCAUGCUGGCCCCCUCGGGGCCCCCUGGAGACAGGGAGCAGGCACGCCGGCGGCCAAGUUAACUCUUGUUUUUACACUGAAACUCUGAGAAAAAACACAAAUGAAUCAAAACUUUCAACAACGGAUCUCUUGGUUCUGGCAUCGAUGAAGAACGCAGCGAAAUGCGAUAAGUAAUGUGAAUUGCAGAAUUCAGUGAAUCAUCGAAUCUUUGAACGCACAUUGCGCCCUCUGGUAUUCCGGAGGGCAUGCCUGUUCGAGCGUCAUUUCAACCCUCAAGCAUUGCUUGGUGUUGGGGCACUGCCUGUAAAAGGGCAGGCCCUGAAAUCUAGUGGCGAGCUCGCCAGGACCCCGAGCGCAGUAGUUAAACCCUCGCUUUGGAAGGCCCUGGCGGUGCCCUGCCGUUAAACCCCCAACUUUUGAAAAUUUGACCUCGGAUCAGGUAGGAAUACCCGCUGAACUUAAGCAUAUCAAAA
rnacentral:rRNA from 1 species